AGAGGCUUGAACCUUUAAUUAGAAAGUUUGUUAUGGACAUAUAUAAAAAUGAGAAGAGGCCAGAAACCAAAGAAUUGAUUCGUAAAAUUCCUCUUUUGGUUCCUAGUAUUCCUCAGCAGAUAGAUGAUAAAAAAUGUGGGUAUUUUGUCCUUUACUAUAUUUAUUUGUUCAUAAAGAAUGCUCCUGAGAUGUUUAGCAUCGACGAGGGCUACCCUUACUUUAUGACAGAAGACUGGUUCACUCUUGAAGAGCUCGACGGCUUCU